AUUGAACGCUGGCGGCAGGCCUAACACAUGCAAGUCGAACGAGUGGCGGACGGGUGAGUAAUGUCUGGGCAACUGCCUGAUGGAGGGGGAUAACUACUGGAUACGGUAGCUAAUACCGCAUACCAUCAGAUGUGCCCAGAGGGGAUUAGCUACUUGGUGGGGUAACGGCUCACAAAGGCGACGAUCCCUAGCCGGUCUGAGAGGAUGACCAGCAACACUGGAACUGAGAAACGGUCAAGCCUCCUACGGGAGGCGGCAGUGGGAAAUAUUGCACAAUGGGCGCAAGCCGGAUGCAGACAUGCCGCGUGUAUGAAGAAGGCCUUCGGGUUGUAAAGUACGUUCAGCGGGGAGGCGUUACCCGCAGAAGAAGCACCGGCUAACUCCGUGCCAGCAGCCGCGGUAAUUC
rnacentral:rRNA from 1 species